rnacentral:rRNA from 1 species
AUUGAACGCUGGCGGCAAGCCUAACACAUGCAAGUCGAACGAGUGGCGGACGGGUGAGUAAUGUCUGGGAAACUGCCUGAUGGAGGGGGAUAACUACUGGAAACGGUAGCUAAUACCGCAUACCAUCGGAUGUGCCCAGAUGGGAUUAGCUAGUAGGGGGGGUAAAGGCUCACCUAGGCGACGAUCCCUAGCUGUUCUGCGAGGAUGACCUGCCACACUGGAACGGAGACACGGUCCAGAGUCCGACGGGAGGCAGCAGUGGGGAAUAUUGCACAAUGGGCGCAAGCCUUAUACAGCCAUGCCGCUUGUAUGAAGAAGGCCUUCGGGUUGUAAAGUACUUUCAGCGGGGAGGCGUUACCCUCAGAAGAAGCACCGGCUAACUCCGUGCCAGCAGCCGCGGUAAUAC